rnacentral:rRNA from 1 species
UACAGAGGGUGCGAGCGUUAAUCGGAAUUACUGGGCGUAAAGCGUACGUAGGCGGCGGAUUAAGUCGAAUGUUAAAGCCUGGGCUCAACCCAGAGAUGCAUUCGAUACUGGUCUGCUAGAGGGUGAUAGAGGAAGCGGAAUUCCCAGUGUAGCGGUGAAAUGCGCAGAUAUCGGGAGGAACACCUAUGGCGAAGGCAGCUCGCUGGGACGUUACUGACGCUGGAGACGCGAAAGCGUGGGGAGCAAACAGG